AGGGGGACCGCGGCGCGCCGGGCGCUGAGGGCGAGAAGGGCGAGGCGGGAGCCCCAGGGCGCCCAGGGCCGGCGGGCAGGGAGGGAGCUCCGGGACCGGCCGGGCCACGGGGGGAGAAGGGUGAGCCAGGACCGCCCGGGAAGCCGG